CUCUAUAAAACUCUACUCAAUUUUUUUUCUCCAUGACUCUGACACUUUGGGGAAAAUGCAUGGCACCGAGUAGCUCUGUACAACUCCUGGAUUCUCACUACAAACAAGCUAAAACACAAACUCAGCCAGCUGCAUAAGGCUCACCAAGUGACAUGGAUGAAGAUUUUUGCACUGAUCUAUCAUCUCAGCUGCCUGAAAAGAAUACACAGGAACUUCUAGUGACUGUCCCAGAACUCAAUGAGCCUGCUGUCUGUUGUCAUGUUGUGUGUCUCGCGUAUAACAAAUUAGAUGACUACUACAUUAUAUGUUCCAUCCUGGGAUACAUCGUUUCCCGCACUAAUUUCUGCUUCAGCCUCCACCCUCAGAGGGUCACAGAUCUCAGGUUCCAGUCUGAGCCCGAACAGCUACCCAGUGAUUUUUCAGUCCUGGAGCCCAAGCCCCAUGAGCUCAAGUCAGCUGACCCAGAUCAAC